GAUACCGUGGGACAUGCCCUUCUCUGCGGAAUAGUCCUUGGAAACGAGGUUUAACACCGCAUACGCCCUUCGGGGGAAAGUUUAUCGGGGAAGGAUUGGCCCGCGCCUGAUUAGGUAGUUGGUGGGGUAAAAGCCUACCAAGCCGACGAUCAGUAGCUGGUUUGAGAGGAUGAUCAGCCACACUGGGACUGAGACACGGCCCAGACUCCUACGGGAGGCAGCAGUGGGGAAUCUUAGACAAUGGGGGCAACCCUGAUCUAGCCAUGCCGCGUGUGUGACGAAGGCUCUAGGGUCGUAAAGCACUUUCGCCAGGGAAGAUAAUGACGGUACCUGGUAAAGAAACCCCGGCUAACUCCGUGCCAGCAGCCGCGGUAAUACGGAGGGGGUUAGCGUUGUUCGGAAUUACUGGGCGUAAAGCGCACGUAGGCGGAUAUUUAAGUCAGGGGUGAAAUCCCGGGGCUCAACCCCGGAACGGCCCUUGAUACUGGAUGUCUGGAGUCCGAGAGAGGUGAGUGGAACUCCCAGUGUAGAGGUGAAAUUCCUAGAUAUUCCGAAGAACACCACUGGCGAAGGCGGCUCACUGGCUCGGUACUGACGCUGAGGUGCCCCAGCGUGGGGCAGCAACACGACUAGAUCCCCUGGCCGCCCCCUCCGCCAACUAUUACUGCCCAACCUCGCCCCCCCCUCCUGCCCCCCGCCCACCCUCAACCGAGUCAAACCUCCCCCCUGGCGAGCUCCGUCCCCCCACUUACUCCCCCUCCGCCCUUUCCCCGCUGCCCCCCCCUCCAACCCCUCUACCCAUGCCCUCUUAACUCCCACGUCACCUCGCCAAUUUCCUUCCCCCUCCCCCCCCCCCUCCCCU
rnacentral:rRNA from 1 species